rnacentral:rRNA from 1 species
CAGCAGCCGCGGUAAUACGAAGGGGGCUAGCGUUGCUCGGAAUGACUGGGCGUAAAGGGCGCGUAGGCGGAUGGCACAGUCAGAUGUGAAAUUCCCGGGCUUAACCUGGGGGCUGCAUUUGAUACGUGUUGUCUAGAGUGAGGAAGAGGGUCGUGGAAUUCCCAGUGUAGAGGUGAAAUUCGUAGAUAUUGGGAAGAACACCGGUGGCGAAGGCGGCGACCUGGUCCUUUACUGACGCUGAGGCGCGAAAGCGUGAGGAGCAAACAGGAUUAGAUACCCCCGUAGUCCCUGUCUCUUAUAC